UAGCACUCCCCUUGACAAGCAUGGAAGAGGCCAUUGGGCCUGACAAUAUGCACACAGUUAAGGCAUUGCCACCUACUUGGUGGCAUCUAACCAUCGUUUCAG
ensembl:snRNA